rnacentral:lncRNA from 1 species
UCCAUUUUCCUCUCGCGACCUCGUGGCGGUCUGCGCGCGCUUCCUCCUCGGUGGAGGUACGGGCAUGUCCCCGCGAGGCCUUCGCUUCGGCGCCGAGCGCGAAACGCGGCCCUUAGGAAAGUAUCCGCGCGAUUUGGGAUGCGAGUCGAGUUUCCCACGGAAAAAGAAAAUGCACCCGGGGCCCGAAACUAAUGCAGGGUCUCCACGUCGCCCUGGGAAUGCGGGCAUUGAGGACGCUGGAAAAUAAAACCGUUUUAUUAUUAUUUUUUCCUUCUUGGUGCCCUUGACCACUGAGCCUCGUCCCCAGCCCUUUAGUGUUUUUUUUUUUUUCUUUUUAAACUUAAGAAAGGGCCUCGCUGAGUUGCUUAAGCCCUCUCUAAGUCCUGAGGCUGGCUUUGAACCCGCGAUCCUUCUGUCUCAGCCUCCCGAGCCGCCGGGAUUAGAGGCGUUGCAACGCACCGCCCUUGGCUGAAAAUAAAAUUAUUUAUUAGAGAUGUUCGUUGAAUGUAAUGGUAACAAUUUAUUUUUAUUUAUGUUUUCAAUGGUACUGGGGACAGUCCAGCCCUUUAACUUUUUCAGAUGGUCUUCAGCAGCCCGGGUUGGCCUCGAACUUGGGACCCAUUUGCGCAGCUUCCGUGGUACAGUCCUGUGGCUAACGUUAUUUUUAACCAUAAAAUAGUACAUGUUUCCUAAUAUUAAACAUGGAAAGAAAGAAAUGAUAAGCUAGCGUUCGCUGACUGCUUAAAACCAGCCAAGCUUGGCCGGGUGCACGCCUGUCAUCAGGGUGACUCUGGAGGCAGGCACUGGGGAUGUGGUUCAGUGGUUAAGCGUCCCGGGUUCAACCCCAGGUUACACACUGGGGGAUAAAAAACCCGGAACUUCAAUUGAGCACAAGUAUACUAUUUAUGGUAACAUAGAAAUAAUUGCCGUUUUUUAAGAGGUUUUGUUUUUGUUGUUGUUUUAGAUACUGGGGAUUGAACACUGGGACACUUUACCACCCAUCUAUAUUCCCUACCCUUUCUUAUUUUUUGAGAGAUUCUUGUUAAGUUGCCUGGACUGGCCUGGAAUUUGUAGUCUUCAGCCUCUUCGAGUUGCUAGGAUUAUACACCUGUCUCAGGGGGUGUAUUAUUUUCAGAAAAGUAAUAGGGGAAUGAUUAGAACAUUGUAAAGUAUUUUUAAAUUUAUUGUGAAAACGAGCCUGGUGUAGUGGUGCACACCUGAAAUUCUAGCAGCUCAGGAGACUGAGGCAGAAGGAUCACAAGUUUAAAGCCAUCCUCAGUAACUUAGUGAGACCUCAUCUUUAAAUUUAAAAUAUAUAUAUAGAUAGAGGGCUGGGAAUGUGGCUCAGUGGUUAAACAUCCCUAGUGGGUUCAAUACCUGGUAGCAAAAAAUUAAAAUAAAAUUCAUUGUGAAAUGGCAUAAACCUUGCAGCAAAAAUUACUUGUAAGCUUGGCUCAGUGGCAUAGGCCUGGAGGCUGAGGCAGGAGGAUCACAAAUUCAAGGCAAGCCUCAGCAGUUUUAGCAAGGCCCUAAGUAACUUAGACCCUAUCUCUAUAUAGGGGCUGGGAUUGUGGCUCAGCAGUAGAGCACUUGCCUAGUGUGUGGGAAGCCCUGGGUUCGAUCCUCAGCACCACAUAAAAAAUAAAUAAAAUAUUUAAAAAGAUAUUUUAAAAAAUAAAAAUAAAGGGCUGGGAAUGUGGUUUUGAUUAAGCACCACUGGGUUCAAUCCCCA